rnacentral:rRNA from 1 species
GGGGGCAGNCAGCGCGGUAAUAUUCCAGNUCNNUAUAGNAUAUUAAAAGGUGGCAGUUAUAAAAAGCNUAUAGGAAUUUUUGGGGGGUUUGUAGGGGUGUCAUGCCUAUGGUAUGUACUGGUGUCAGUGA